rnacentral:rRNA from 1 species
AUUGAACGCUGGCGGCAGGCCUAACACAUGCAAGUCGAACGGAGCGCCGGACGCGUGAGUAAUGCCUAGGAAUCUGCCUGUUAGUGGGGGAUAGCGUCCGGAAACGGACGCUGAUACCACAUACUCUCAGAUGAGCCUAUGUGGGAUUAGCUAGUUGGUGGGGUAAAGGCCUACCAAGGCGACGAUCCGUAACUGGUCUGAGAGGAUGAUCAGUCACACUGGAACUGAGACACGGUCCAGACUCCUACGGGAGGCAGCAGUGGGGAAUAUUGGACAAUGGGCGAAAGCCUGAUGCAGCCAUGCCGCGUGUGUGAAGAAGGUCUUCGGAUUGUAAAGCACUUUAAGUUGGGAGGCGUUACCAACAGAAUAAGCACCGGCUAACUUCGUGCCAGCAGCCGCGGUAAUUC